GAGUUUGAUCAUGGCUCAGAUUGAACGCUGGCGGCAUGCCUUACACAUGCAAGUCGAACGGCAGCAUGAUCUAGCUUGCUAGAUUGAUGGCGAGUGGCGAACGGGUGAGUAAUACAUCGGAACGUGCCCUGUAGUGGGGAUAACUAGUCGAAAGAUUAGCUAAUACCGCAUACGACCUGAGGGUGAAAGUGGGGGACCGCAAGGCCUCAUGCUAUAGGAGCGGCCGAUGUCUGAUUAGCUAGUUGGUGGGGUAAAGGCCCACCAAGGCGACGAUCAGUAGCUGGUCUGAGAGGACGAUCAGCCACACUGGGGACUGAGACACGGCCCAGACUCCUACGGGAGGCAGCAGUGGGAAUUUUGGACAAUGGGCGAAAGCCU
rnacentral:rRNA from 1 species